rnacentral:rRNA from 1 species
GACGAACCGUGCAAACGUUGUUCGGAAUCACUGGGCUUAAAGGGCGCGUAGGCGGCUCAGCAAGUCGGGGGUGAAAUCUUUCGGCUCAACCGGAAAAGUGCCUUCGAUACUGCGGAGCUCGAGGAAGAUAGGGGCCACGGGAACGACCAGUGGAGCGGUGAAAUGCGUUGGAGAUUGGUAGGAACGCCGGUGGCGAAAGCGCGUGGCUGGAUCUUCCCUGACGCUGAGGCGCGGAAAGCUAGGGGAGCAAACGGGG